GACAGAGAGCGCAAACGUUGUUCGGAAUUACUGGGCGUAAAGCGAGUGUAGGCGGUUUGGUAAGUCGGAUGUGAAAGCCCUGGGCUCAACCCAGGAAGUGCACUCGAAACUGCCAAGCUAGAGUAGCGGAGAGGUUGGUGGAAUUCUCGGUGUAGAGGUGAAAUUCGUAGAUAUCGAGAGGAACACCGGUGGCGAAGGCGGCCAACUGGACGAAUACUGACGCUGAGACUCGAAAGCGUGGGGAGCAAACAGG
rnacentral:rRNA from 1 species